GUUUGAUCUUGUCAGAUUGAACGCUGGCGGGAUGCUUUACACAUGCAAGUCGAACGGCAGCACGGACUUCGGUCUGGUGGCGAGUGGCGAACGGGUGAGUAAUGUAUCGGAACGUGCCUAGUAGCGGGGGAUAACUACGCGAAAGCGUAGCUAAUGCCGCAUACGCCCUUCGAGGAAAAUAGGGGGACCUUCGGGCCUCGCACUAUUAGAAGCAGCCGAUAUCGGAUUGGCUAGUUGGUGGAGUAACGGCUCGCAGGCGACGAUCCGUGGCUGGUUUGAGAGGACGACCAGCCACACUGGGACGGCUGAACACGGCCCAGACUCCUACGGGAGGCAGCUUGAGGAAGUGAAAUUUUGGACAAUGGGGGAAACCCUGAUCCAGCCAUCCCCGCGUGUGCGAUGAGGCCUUCGGGUUGUAAAGCACUUUUGGCAGGAAAAAACGGCACCGGGAUAAUACCCCGUGCAACUGACGGUGCAGAAUAAGCACCGGCUAACUACGUGCCAGCAGCCGCGGUAAUACGUAGGGUGCAAGCGUUAAUCGGAAUUACUGGGCAUAAAGCGUGCGCAGGCAGUUUCCGGGAAGAAAGAUGUGAAAUCCCAGAGAGCUUAACUUUGGAACUGCAUUUUUAACUACCGAGCUAGAGUGUGUCAGAGGGAGGUGGAAUUCCUCAUUAGCAGUGAAAUGCGUAGAUAUGCGGAGGAAUACCUGAUGGCGAAGGCAGCCUCCUGGGAUAACACUGACGCUCAUGCGAAAGCGUGGGAGCAAACAGGAUUAGAUACCCUGGUAGUCCACGCCCUAAAACGGUAUCAACUAGCUGUUGGGGCCUUCGGGCCUUGGUAGCGCAGCUAUGCGAGGAUUGAUGCCUGGGAAGAACUACGGUCGCAAGAUUAGAAACUCAAAGGAAUUGACGGGGACCCGCACAAGCGGUGGAUGAUGUGGAUUAAUUCGAUGCAACGCGAAAAACCUUACCUACCCUUGACAUGUAUGAGAUCCCAAAGAUUUGGGAGUGCUCUGAAAGAACUUCGGAACACAGGUGCUGCAUGGCUGUCGUCAGCUCGUGUCGUGAGAUGUUGGGUUAAGUCCCGCAACGAGCGCAACCCUUGUCAUUAGUUGCUACGAAGAAGGGCACUCUAAUGAGACUGCCGGUGGCUAAACCGGAGGAAGGUGGGGAUGACGUCAAGUCCUCAUGGCCCUUAUGGGUGGGAACUACACGUCAUGCAAUGGUCAGGGACAGAGGGUCAUAACCCGCGGGGGAGCCAAUCCCAGAAACCCGAUCGUAGUCCGGAUCGCGGUCUGCAACUCGACUGCACGUGAAGUCAGAAUCUACUGAUAAUCGCCAGAUCAGCAUAUCAUGCCGGUGAAUACGUUCCCCAGGUCUUCUUUUACCGUCACACCGCUGGGAUGGUUUUACAGAAGUAGUUAGCCUAACCAAUGAGAGGGCGAUUACCACGGUAGGAUUCAUGACUGGGGUGAAGUCGUAACAAAGAGUAG
rnacentral:rRNA from 1 species